UACGUAGGGUGCAAGCGUUGUCCGGAAUUAUUGGGCGUAAAGAGCUCGUAGGCGGUCUGUCACGUCGGCUGUGAAAUCCCGAGGCUCAACCUCGGGUCUGCAGUCGAUACGGGCAAACUAGAGUAUUGCAGGGGAGACUGGAAUUCCUGGUGUAGCGGUGAAAUGCGCAGAUAUCGGGAGGAACACCAGUGGCGAAGGCGGCGAUCUGGGAAGAUACUGACGCUGAGGUGCGAAAGCGUGGGGAGCAAACAGG
rnacentral:rRNA from 1 species